rnacentral:rRNA from 1 species
AUAUCAGUCAUGCAUAGCAUAUCAAUAAGCGGAGGAAAAGAAACUAACAAGGAUUCCCUUAGUAACGGCGAGUGAAGCGGGAAGAGCCUCAAAUUUGAAAUCUUCAAGGUUUUACCUUGACGAAUUGUAGUUUAAAGAAGUGUUUUCUGUUGAAGUUUUGGUAAAAGUUCUUUGGAAUAGGACAUCAUAGAGGGUGAGAAUCCCGUAUUUGACCAUUACUUUCAUGCUUUGUGAUACACUUUCAAAGAGUCGGAUUGUUUGGGAAUGCAGUCCAAAAUGGGUGGUAAAUUUCAUCUAAAGCUAAAUAUUGGCGAGAGACCGAUAGCGAACAAGUACCGUGAGGGAAAGAUGAAAAGAACUUUGAAAAGAGAGUUAAACAGUACGUGAAAUUGUCAAAAGGGAAGCGUUUGACACCAGUGUUGUUUUCUCGAAAAUCAAUUAAAAAGAGUUGGAUUUUGUGUUGUAUUGACUUUAUCAGCUUUCUUCACUCUUUUCCAGCUUUUUUUAAUGCACUUUUCGUUUAACAAGUCAACAUCAGUUUCUUUUGUUGUAAAAAGGUCAUUGGAAGGUGGCUUUCUCUUCGGAGAAAGUGUUUAUAGCCUUUGACUCAUGCAAUCGGAGAGACUGAGGUCUGCAGCGUAGAUCCUUCGGGGUUAGAUACAUUUGUGCUAAGUUAUAGCUUUUCAUAGACAACUUGUUGACUAUGUUUAGUCUUGUAGCUUACUCGCUUAUGCUAUUUUACCUACGCUUAGGAUGUUGAACUCUAUCACACACAG